UUAACUUGUUAAUCAUAAAAAUUGCUCUCCAAAAAAGUAUACUGGAAACAUCCGGAUGUGAGGUUAUAAUUAAAAAUGAAAGCAAAACAGCCUCUAUGAAAAGAAAUGAAACUAUUAAUUCAAAUGCAGUGGAUAGUUGAUAAUGAAAGUAAAAACACUGGCAUAUAUAGAUAUUGGGAAGUCUUGGGAUUUGCAUUUUAUCACUGACCAUCUGG
rnacentral:lncRNA from 1 species